UACAGAGGUGGCAAGCGUUGUUCGGAAUUACUGGGCGUAAAGGGCGCGUAGGCGGCCUUCUAAGUCAGACGUGAAAUCCCCCGGCUUAACCUGGGAACUGCGUCUGAUACUGGAAGGCUUGAGUGCGGGAGAGGGAUGUGGAAUUCCAGGUGUAGCGGUGAAAUGCGUAGAUAUCUGGAGGAACACCGGUGGCGAAGGCGGCAUCCUGGGUCAAGAUUGACGCUCAUGCACGAAAGCGUGGGGAGCAAACAGG
rnacentral:rRNA from 1 species